GAUGAAGAACGCAGCGAAAUGCGAUAAGUAAUGUGAAUUGCAGAAUUCAGUGAAUCAUCGAAUCUUUGAACGCACAUUGCGCCCCUUGGUAUUCCGAGGGGCAUGCCUGUUCGAGCGUCAUUUCACCACUCAAGCCUCGCUUGGUAUUGGGCGCCGCGGUGUUCCGCGCGCCUCAAAGUCUCCGGCUGAGCUGUCCGUCUCUAAGCGUUGUGAUUUCAUUAAUCGCUUCGGAGCGCGGGCGGUCGCGGCCGUUAAAUCUUUCAUAAGGUUGACCUCGGAUCAGGUAGGGAUACCCGCUGAACUUAAGCAUAUCAAUAAGCGGAGGA
rnacentral:misc_RNA from 1 species